GCCGGGCUAGCUUAUCUGGAAGGCUUGACUUUCUAAGGUUAGUGAAUGUAGGUUCAAAUCCUACGCCCGGCU
rnacentral:tRNA from 1 species